GUUGGAGAUACAUGUCAGGGUUGGAAAAUAUCAAAAUACAUGAGUACUACUACUACAAUUAUGCUAUAUCUCCGUAUCCCUUCUUUCAACUUCAACCCAAAUUCAUUUAUUUAUACACUCACCAGUGUUUUCUUCAAUUGAUUCCAUCCAACAAAGGUAUACUCAUCUCAAUUUUGAAAUCUCUCACGUUUCGAUUCUACAUCGUAAUUUCAUGAUAUCACACAUUUAGGGGAAAAAUCCGAGAUUUUACUUCUUCCUACCAAUCAAAGGUAUAUAUUUAUGAAAUCUUCCCAUGUUUUGUUCCAUGCCAUAUUCAUUCACGCUAGUUUCAUCAUGACUAUGGGAAUAAAUUGAAACCCUCUCAUAUCACGACGGCAGCAGCAGCGACGGUGGAAAUUUGGAUGAAGAGAUCGUAGAACACUGUGACUUGGGCUAUGAAAGGUCGAAAAAGUUUGCAGUUUGAUGAAAUCUCAGGGAGUCCUUUUUUUUUGGAUCUUUGGCAGGUGAAGCUGCAGUUUUGUGCUGUCAAGAACGUGUUUGAUUCGACUAGGGAAGUGGGAGAAUGCUUUGGUUAGUUGUGUGGAUUUACUGACACAGAUGUUGAGACUGAUUGGACUCCUGACGACAUGCCUGAAAUUUAGACAUUUUUUCCCCGUCUGUUUGAAGCUGAGUUCAUUCGGAGUGACUGAAACGUAUGCACCACCGGGAGAGUCUACUUCUGCCUUGUAAACAGCCGCCCCUUCCCCAUAAUAUGCAACCGUUCUACGCACUGAUAUAUUCCCUUUCAGGUCCUACUAGACUCCAAUUGAAGUCAUAUGUGGAUGUUUUGGUGUUCCUGCAGUAUGUGGUCUCACCGGUGAGGUUCUUCAGCUGACCAGGGCUUGCACCGGUGCUGCACAGGAAAUCAAUGACAUCGCUGCUGUCAAAAUCCCAAACAAUCCGGGGUCGACCGCUACAGCCGGAUUGACAUGCUCGGAUCCAUAGUCAAAAGACUUGAUCGCUGCAGGGCUCCUUGAAGGAUGGACGGAUUUGACGAUAGCAGCAAGAGCAGAGACAUGGGGGCGGGACGUUGAAGUGCCCGAGAUUAUGUUGUAGUCGAUUGAUCUUCUAGCCGUGUUAGCAGUAGCCAAUGGAGACGAUGCUUCCACGACGUUCACGCCUGGCGCUGUUUUAUCCGGCUGAAAAUAAAAAAGGUGAAGGAUGCCUUGCAGACGAGAACAUUGCCAUCUCGGGCGCUGGUUUAGUCAGCUGAACUGUCACUGUCUGGGAUAUUCUAGCCACUGAUGUAUGAUGUUUAGAUGCACGAAGCUCGAACUUAUGGUUCGAAACCAUCUAGUGGAUCAACCAGUAUUAUCCUCAUACCACCAGCUUGUUUCACAUUAGCAGCCUUUUCGUUUCGCGAAUCAAGAAAUUUCUUCGAGCGCGCAGACAACAAUCUUCCCCUUAACCAGAGCCGGAUCUAGGGUGUAUGCUC